rnacentral:rRNA from 1 species
GUCUACAGCCAUACCAUCCCGAACACACCAGAUCUCGUCUGAUCUCGGAAGCUAAGCAGGGAGUGGCCUGGUUAGUACUUGGAUGAGGGAUGCGUAUGUACAAUUCUGUGCCACAUAAC